GAUGAACGCUAGCGGCAGGCUUAAUACAUGCAAGUCGAGGGGCAGCAGGUCCCGCAGCAAUGCGGGAUGCUGGCGACCGGCUAACGGGUGCGGAACACGUACAGAACCUUCCUUUAAGUGGGGAAUAGCCCGGGGAAACCCGGAUUAAUACCCCGUACCAUAAUGAAGUGGCAUCACUUUAUUAUUAUAGCAGCAAUGCGCUUGAAGAUGGCUGUGCGGCUGAUUAGGUAGUUGGCGGGGUAACGGCCCACCAAGCCUACGAUCAGUAACUGGUGUGAGAGCACGACCAGUCACACGGGCACUGAGACACGGGCCCGACUCCUACGGGAGGCAGCAGUAAGGAAUAUUGGGCAAUGGACGCAAGUCUGACCCAGCCAUGCCGCGUGGAGGAUGAAGGUCCUCUGGAUUGUAAACUUUUUUUAUCUGGGAAGAAAUCUAUUUUUUCUAAAGUAGUUGACGGUACCAGAUGAAUAAGCACCGGCUAACUCCGUGCCAGCAGCCGCCGUAA
rnacentral:rRNA from 1 species